rnacentral:rRNA from 1 species
GACGAACGCUGGCGGCGCGCCUAACACAUGCAAGUCGAACGAGCGAGAGAGAGCUUGCUUUCUCGAGCGAGUGGCGAACGGGUGAGUAACGCGUGAGGAACCUGCCUCAAAGAGGGGGACAACAGUUGGAAACGACUGCUAAUACCGCAUAAGCCCACGGCUCGGCAUCGAGCAGGGGGAAAAGGAGCAAUCCGCUUUGAGAUGGCCUCGCGUCCGAUUAGCUAGUUGGUGAGGUAACGGCCCACCAAGGCGACGAUCGGUAGCCGGACUGAGAGGUGGAACGGCCACAUUGGGACUGAGACACGGCCCAGACUCCUACGGGAGGCAGCAGUGGGGAAUAUUGCACAAUGGGGGAAACCCUGAUGCAGCGACGCCGCGUGGAGGAAGAAGGUCUUCGGAUUGUAAACUCCUGUUGUUGGGGAAGAUAAUGACGGUACCCAACAAGGAAGUGACGGCUAACUACGUG